UUAGGACUUAUAGUUUUAAGGGUUUCCACAGAACUUAAGGUGAGUCUUUUUGGAAUUUAAUGUUUUACAUGAUAAAAUGGACAGUGAAAAAAGUUUGGAAGGUGGAAACAUUAUUUUUUACAAGAUUUGUUUAUGAUUGCAUUAUUUCAGGUGUUGACAUAACCUUUGCCAGUACACUGUUGGAAAUUUGUUGCUGACUUUUGUAAGGGCUGACAAGGGGACGAUGCCAAGACGAGGAACGAGAGUGGAAUAGUGGAAGCUUUUACUCAUUACUGCCAAGCCAGUGCAGUGUUGGUGUAAGGAAUGCCAAGGGGAUGACACCAAGAUGAGCUAAGGGGAAGGUGCCAAGACGAGCAACGAGAUUGGAGUGAUGGAAAUUUUUGCUAAGUGCUGCCAAGCCAGAAAGGCUUGUGCCAGUGCAGUGUUGGUGUAAGGGAUACCAAGGGGACGAUGCCAAGACGAGGAACGAGAGUGGAAUAGUGGAAGCUUUUACUCAUUACUGCCAAGCCAGUGCAGUGUUGGUGUAAGGAAUGCCAAGGGGAUGACACCAAGAUGAGCUAAGGGGAAGGUGCCAAGACGAGCAACGAGAUUGGAGUGAUGGAAAGUUUUGCUAAGUGCUGCCAAGCCAGAAAGGCUUGUGCCAGUGCAGUGUUGGUGUAAGGGAUGCCAAGGGGACGAUGCCAAGACGAGGAACGAGAGUGGAAUGGUGGAAGCUUUUACUCAUUACUGCCAAGCCAGUGCAGUGUUGGUGUAAGGAAUGCCAAGAUGAGCUAAGGGGAAGGUGCCAAGACGAGCAACGAGAUUGGAGUGAUGGAAAUUUUUGCUAAGUGCUGCCAAGCCAGAAAGGCUUGUGCCAGUGCAGUGUUGGUGUAAGAGAUGCCAAGGGGACGAUGACAAGACGAGGAACGAGAGUGGAAUAGUGGAAGCUUUUACUCAUUGCUGCCAAGCCAGUGCAGUGUUGGUGUAAGGAAUGCCAAGGGGAUGACACCAAGAUGAGCUAAGGGGAAGGUGCCAAGACGAGCAACGAGAUUGGAGUGAUGGAAAUUUUUGUUAAGUGCUGUCAAGCCAGAAAGGCUUGUGCCAGUGCAGUGUUGGCGUAAGGGAUGCCAAGGGGAUGAUGCCAAGGCGAAGAACGAGAGUGGAAUGGUGGAAGCUUUUACUCAUUACUGCCAAGCCAGUGCAGUGUUGGUGUAAGGAAUGCCAAGGGGAUGACGCCAAGAUGAGCUAAGGGGAAGGUGCCAAGACGAGCAACGAGAUUGGAGUGAUGGAAAUUUUUGCUAAGUGCUGCCAAGCCAGAAAGGCUUGUGCCAGUGCAGUGUUGGUGUAAGGGAUGCCAAGGGGACGAUGCCAAGACGAGGAACGAGAGUGGAAUGGUGGAAGCUUUUAUUUACUCAUUGCUGCCAAGCCAGUGCAGUGUUGGUGUAAGGAAUGCCAAGGGGAUGACGCCAAGAUGAGCUAAGGGGAAGGUGCCAAGACGAGCAACGAGAUUGGAGUGAUGGAAAUUUUUGCUAAGUGCUGCCAAGCCAGAAAGGCUUGUGCCAGUGCAGUGUUGGUGUAAGGGAUGCCAAGGGGACGAUGCCAAGACGAGGAACGAGAGUGGAAUGGUGGAAGCUUUUACUCAUUGCUGCCAAACCAGUGCAGUGUUGGUGUAAGGAAUGCCAAGGGGAUGACGCCAAGAUGAGCUAAGGGGAAGGUGCCAAGACGAGCAACGAGAUUGGAGUGAUGGAAAUUUUUGCUAAGUGCUGCCAAGCCAGAAAGGCUUGUGCCAGUGCAGUGUUGGUGUAAGAGAUGCCAAGGGGACGAUGCCAAGACGAGGAACGAGAGUGGAAUGGUGGGAGCUUUUACUCAUUACUGCCAAGCCAGUGCAGUGUUGGUGUAAGGGAUGCCAAGGGGACGAUGCCAAGACGAGGAACGAGAGUGGAAUGGUGGAAGCUUUUACUUAUUACUGCCAAGCCAGUGCAGUGUUGGUGUAAGGAAUGCCAAGGGGAUGACGCCAAGAUGAGCUAAGGGGAAGUGAUGGAAAUUUUUGCUAAGUGCUGCCAAGCCAGAAAGGCUUGUGCCAGUGCAGUGUUGGUGUAAGAGAUGCCAAGGGGACGAUGCCAAGACGAGGAACGAGAGUGGAAUGGUGGAAGCUUUUACUCAUUACUGCCAAGCCAGUGCAGUGUUGGUGUAAGGGAUGCCAAGGGGACGACGCCAAGACAAGCAGUGAGAUCUGCCCUGACUUUUACCUGUGUGGAACUUUUUUUGUGUGUGUGUGUGUGUGUGUGUGUGUGUCGAGGUGAGUUAUUCCUGAAGAUAUUGUUCUAUUUCAUAUGUAUACACCUAUUUCUUUAGUGCCUCCCAAGGCAGGCACCACACAUGGAUGCUUUCACGUAGGUGUGGAGCUAUUGUGUGUGGUACGAGACAGCUCUCGUUAUGAAGAAGCCUUGUUUCAAACCAACUUCUUUUAAGAGGAAGGUUUCAAGACAUCUGUUACUUUAUUUUGGCUGACUUUGAUGUGCAAGAGGACUGGCAAUUGUAGGCUUUUUUUACUUGGUCAGUUUCCUUCCUUACAUAAUAUACACACACACACACACACACACACACACACAUACAUACAUACAGUCGCAAAAGAUAAGGCGCGCUCUGAAAAAAAAAUAAUUAUGGUUAGCGCAUCAGAACAUGGGCAGUAACAUUCACCGAGCCUUCCUAACAUUUUGUUGUGUUCCCUUUCCUCUUGAUCACCUCUCGUAGACGCCUGGGGACACUAUCAGCAAGGUUUUCCAUGUGAGACGGAUAUUAGCCCAGAGCUGCUGAAUUGCAGUGGUAAGCUUGGGUACAGAUGAGGUGUCAAGGUUGCGCAAUCCUCUUUUUAUAAUUGACCACAGGUUCUCAAUCGGGUUGAUGUCAGGACUAUUUCCUGGCCAGUCCUUAAAGUAGUUUACCAUGCAGUCAUCUAGCCAAGUAACAACUGACUUGGCGGUAUGGCAGGGAGCACCGUCCUGCAUAAAAAUUCAUGCCCGAGUUUUCUCAAAAGAGUUUGGCAAAUGGUCACACAGUAACUCAAGAUAUACUCCCUGGUUCACUUUAAUGUUCUUUGGCAGCACCACUAAACUGCCAACACCAUAAUAGCUGAAACAGCCCCAUACCAUAAUCGAAUCAGGGUGCUUAACAGUCUUUGUGGUGAACUUGGGGUCCAGAGCGUCACUGUGGGGCCGGCGGUACACCUUGUCAUACCGGCUCCCAGUCACUGUGAAGGUUGCCUCGUCACUCCAUAAUACUCCUCUCCAAUCCUCAUCUGACCACACACUAUAUUUCUUGGCAAAUUUCAAUCUCAGCCCUCUGGACAGUGGUUAGCAGCGGUUUACAUCUGGCCCGGUAGCUAUGAUAACCCAAGUCAUCAUGGAGAAAUUGUUGAAUGCUACGUACUGAUGCGUUGCCAAGCAAAUCUGGGUUAGUUUCCUUCAGUUCUCUUGCUGUACUUCGAGGCCUGCAUUUAGCCUAGUUUUAGCCAUAGUACCGAUUCCGCUGAAAUUUAAGGCGCAACCUCUACCGCGCCUUAUCUUUUCGCGCCGACUGUAUAUAAUCAUACCCAUGGUUUGUAAUUACGUAUCAGCAUAAAAUGAGUUGUCAAAAAUUAUUUGUACUGUUAUAAACAAAGGUGGAUGUUAGUGUUUGAAAAUCUAAUGUUAGUUAAUUACUGGUGAGGCUGUGAUGGACAGAUAGUUGUUGUGGUGGAGAGAGCUGUCUUGAUAAAACGCUGAACACAUUAUGGUAAUAAACGAUAGGAUAUUUAUUUUUAAUAUUAGCUCAGAAAAUUUGUUGGAGGAAAAUAAUAACAAGGUCAAAGGUUUGUAAUUAUUUAGAAAUGUGAUGCCCUGCUGUGCUUGUUAUUGUGAUAGCAACCAUCUCCAUCUUAAUGCAGCAGCUAGCAUGCUAACCUAACUAGAUGUAAACUAACAGCUGAAUCUAACAUAACAACCUAACCAAACAAGUGUUGCAUAGAUAAGAUUUAGUCAGGUAAGGAUGAUUGUGGCAAGAUCAAGGUCAAGAACAUGGAGCUCCUCACAACAAAAUACACCAGGGCUACUAUCUGGCAUACAAGUAAGAGGCUAAGGUUACAGGGAUGUCUUGAACUAUGCAAGGGAUUCAUUCCUAAAGGGAUUGUGAAUAGUGAAUAUGAUUGCUGACCUAGACCGUACAGUAUAUAUCAAAUCUAGAGGGUUGCAUUCAGCCAACAUUAAGUUUAAGACUACAUGUUGGCAGUACACAGGGGAAACGCCGGUGACACCUGGGGCCGUAUUGUAUAGCAUUUUCAUAUAUAAGACAUCCACCAAGAAUUUGCAUUUCCAUCAUAUCAAGCUGAUUUUUUCACAAGUGAGAUUUCCCAUGCUUUAAGUUAGGUUCCAUUGAAAAGAAAGUAUAAAACAACUGUGAAAACUAGGACUCUAUUGUAUAUAUACACACUAUGUAUUUAGAAAAUGAGUGAAGCUUCAUUAGAAAAGGUUAUGUGAAUAUCUUCAUUGUGAGGAGUAAAUGUUUGCAACACCAACUUGAUAUCACCACCAUUGAUAUUCUAGAGCAGUGGUUUCCAAACUGUGGUAUGCGAAGGUCUUCCAGGUGCUUCGUGAGGACUUUCUGGAUCGUAUGCGAUUUUAAUUAAAUUACAUUAAUUCAUAUCUCAGAAAAAUUAUUAUCCCUUGCAUUAAACUGAUUUAUGUUCCGUGUUAUUAGUAUGUUCUACUUGUGAAUAGAUUGAUAUUUGCUGGAAAUGAGUUUUCUGGAGCCAGGUGGUACACAGCGACUGUAUGGGACCCCCAAUUUGUACGCUCAGGAAAAGGUUGGGAACCACUUUUCUUGAGAGUAGGAAUAUUAACAUAAAUGGUUUCAAGAUUAUUGUUAUAAAAGAUUGUAAGUUUAUAAUGUAAAAGGAACAGUAAAAGCAUCGUUACACAUAUAGACAGCCAAUUUAAUUGUAGUUUCUUGUCACCUUUUCAAAGUUGUAUGUUAUUCCAUUUUAGGACUUGAAGGUAGAAACAGGACGAUUUCUCUUGCGAGCCUUAGCUUCUACAAUCAUCUGUGCUUGUCGCUUGAUAAACUUGCGUGUCAAGGUCUCCUCUUCUUCUCCACUAUCUGCUCCUUCUUCAACCUGGAAAAGCAUAUUGUUCUUUUUUUAACGUAUUUCUAUAUUUCUUCCUGUGAAGCAUAUGGGAGUCAUAUAUGCAAGAGGUGUGACAUUUGAUCAUUGAAAUCCACCAUAUAUGAUCAGCUUGUUGCUUAUCAAAUUAAAUUAAUAAUCUGU